rnacentral:rRNA from 1 species
AUAGCCUAAAGGCUGAACCAGCAACUUGAAGGAAUGUAUAUUGACUCUGAUCAAAUAAAAUUCUGGGUGGAUUAUGAUUAUGACAUUUUCUAUUCAUGUGUCUGGACCAAAUUACGUGCCAGCAGUCGCGGUAACACGUUACAGACUAGUGUUAUUCAUCUUUAAUUGGUUUAAAGGGUACCUAGACGGCUAAUUAUGCCCAAAAGAGGGUACUUCUGAGCUAGAGUUUUAUAUAAGAGGGCAUAAAAGUACUGAUGAUGUAGAGAGAUGAAAUUCUGUGACACGAUAAAAGGCACAGGUAUAGGCGAAAGCAUCCCGUUAUGUAAUAACUGACGUUGAGGGACGAAGGCUUUGUGAAAUAAAAAGGAUUUGUUACCCAAGUAGUCUUUUGCAGAAAAUUAUGAAUGUCAUAGGAUAGAUAAAAUUUUAUUCUAUAAAUGAAAGUGUAAGCAUUCCACCUUAAGAGUAAUUUGGCAACAUUGGAACUGAAAUCAUUAGUCCGUUUCUGAAACAAGUAGUGAAGUAUGUUGUUUAAUUAGAUGUUCCGCAAAAAACCUCACCACUUUAAAAUUUUUUAAUUUGAAUAUAAAAUAUUUUUUUAUACAAGCGCUGCACGGUUGUCUUCAGUUAAUGUCGUGAGAUUCUGGUUAGUUCCAUUAAAUUAACGUAAACCCUUACUCUAUUUUUUUU